CUACAAUCGGGUGCAGCAAUUAAAAAAGUGAACUCGCUUUCCAACACAAAUACAUCCCAAAAACAUAAUGCGGGAAAAACAGAAAGCACCAGCAGGAUACCCACACUUUAGCAUUUAUAUGACAUUUGAAAUCCAAUAAAAUAAUAUUUUAUGGAAUCACAACUAUGUAGAAAACGAUGUUCUGGCAGUAACCACCGGGGAUGCACUGGGGACAUCGCUGCUGUGGGUUAAACGUGCCUGAAAAUGCCCUCUGCCCCGUCACACCCGAACACGUGGGCAGGUAUACUCGUCACCUUGCGUGUGGUAGGGUCCAGCUGUGUCCCUCAGGAGCUGUGUUCAAAUCCUAACUCCUGGCACUUUGGAAUGAGAACUUGCUUGGAAAUAGGAUCAUUGUAGUUGAGUUAAUUCAGUUAAAAAGCAGGCACGUGUGGGAGAGUGAGGCCUGGGCCCGGCAGGACUAGCAGCACCAGAGGAGGAGCGGCAGGGGCGCCACGAGAGAGUGGGGGCCAAGCCUGGGAGGGCAGCAGCAAGUCCCCAGGAGCUCCACGAAGCUAGGGGGGCGCCUCGCCUGCAGGUGUCAGGGGAGGCUCCGGGGGCCCUGCUGACCCCGGACCGUGCACUCCUAGCCUCCGGCGCCCAGGCGUGGUUUUCUGUUGUUUGUCACCCAGGCUGUGGUCCUUACCAGCAGCCCUGGGCCUCUCAUUCUAGAACCUGAGCUCAGGAUUCUUCCCCUGAGUCGGCGACGGGCUUCUGGGCUCCGAGGCCCAGCGCGGGGAGGUGGCCCCUGCGCCUCUGGGCCGGGGCGGCCUGCUUCCCUCCCGCCCCACACACCGGGCCUGGUGCGAGCCAAGGCCCAGCUCAGCCCUGGGCUUCUGUAGGCUUCCGGGCCCCCCUCUGUUUCUGACUGAUGGGAACCCCAGGUCUGCGUCCAUAGAAGGCUCGGUGUUCAUGCAACAGAAUCAAAGACACUGUCUGAUGUUGUGGGGAAAACACAGGAGAAGAAAGAAGAGCACUGCAGGCUGGCUCUGGCUGAAAGCACGCCUAACACACAUUUGUUGAAAUCCGCCAUGUGCACUGUGGCGCAUUCAGCCCUGGAUUUUGUGACGUGAAGGUAAAAGAAUGGAGGUUUCUAGAUGAAUAAUAUGAGUAAUAUGCAAACCCACAGGCUGGACUCUGGAUGAGCUCGCGUGGCGCACCUUCCUCACUGGGCCUCCGCCGCACUGGCCAUUUUCCCAUCACUGCAAACACCCACCUUCUUACAUCUGGGGGCCUCGGAUGGAAAGGCCCCCCCCUCCUGUGUUCUCUGCAGUCCCCAGGGCACUCGUAGCAUCCUCCAUUCUAAUCCUCUGCAUAGUGCGUAGUGACACCCAUUCGUCCUGAUUAUUUGUGUAUUUUGUUUUUCUGUCUUCUCUACCUGGUUUCACUCUCUUGGGCAAGGUCUUGGAAAAACAAGAUUUGGAUUAAAAUUCCAUCUCCUAUUUCCUUCCUUUUGGUGCUAUUGCUGUUACCCCAAGAAGAAGGGGAAUACCCUGCAAAGGGGUACUUUCUCCACUUGAAAAGGAGAUUACAGACUCAGGGGUUAAUGACUGUCUAAUG
rnacentral:lncRNA from 12 species